AGAGCAUAUAUAUGAUCUUUGGUGGAAGGUCAUAGCUGGCCAUAGCUUUACUCCCAUGAAACAGAUGGUGAGAUGUUGAUCUACCAUGGAAAAGAUGGAAGAGGACCUCAGCUGCUUUUAGGAGAUGCUCCAUGUGGGGGUGUGCAAGAGGAACGAAGGUGUGGCUCUCAUGGCACUGUGGCUUCUUCCACUGUGGAGCACAUGCUCACCACUGCAUGCUCGUGCAGACUGCAGAUGAAAAGGAGAUUGUGGAUCUGAUCUUGGCUGCUAAAGGUGGUGAAAGAUACAAAGGCGAAGCAGUAGUGCAGUAACUGUUUCGACCUUGGAGUACAUCAAAACCUGAGACAAAGAAUCAAACUUCACAGACAACCCUUGAAAGCUUGGCCACCCUUUUCUCCAUGGAUUUCUCUCUCAUGGUGCGACUCCUGACCCCACAAACCGCCCAAACCUUGUCUUCUUUGGUUACCUUACAUCAUUUCACUGUGCCAAGGAAUCACUACAACCCAUGGCUU
rnacentral:lncRNA from 1 species